UACAGAGGUCUCAAGCGUUGUUCGGAUUCAGUUGGGCGUAAAGGGUGCGUAGGCGGCGUCGGUAAAGUCGGGUGUGAAAAUCUCGGGGCUUAACUCCGAAACUGCAUUCGAUACUACCGUGCUUGAGGAACUGGAGAGGAGACUGGAAUUUACGGUGUAGCGGUGAAAAUGCGUAGAUAUCGUAAGGAAGACCAGUGGCGAAGGCGGGUCUCGUGGACAGUUCCUGACGCUGAGGCACGAAGGCCCAGGGGAGCAAAACGGG
rnacentral:rRNA from 1 species